rnacentral:rRNA from 1 species
UACGAAGGGGGCUAGCGUUGUUCGGAAUUACUGGGCGUAAAGGGCGCGUAGGCGGUGUGUCAAGUCAGGCGUGAAAGCCCCGGGCUCAACCUGGGAACAGCGCUUGAGACUGGCACGCUCGAGUUCGGGAGAGGAUGGUGGAAUUCCCAGUGUAGAGGUGAAAUUCGUAGAUAUCUGGAGGAAUACCGGUGGCGAAGGCGGCAUCCUGGACCGA